rnacentral:rRNA from 1 species
GACGAACGCUGGCGGCGUGCUUAACACAUGCAAGUCGAACGGAAAGGCCUUGCUUUUGUGGGGUGCUCGAGUGGCGAACGGGUGAGUAACACGUGAGUAACCUGCCCUUGACUUUGGGAUAACUUCAGGAAACUGGGGCUAAUACCGGAUAGGAGCUCCUUCUGCAUGGUGGGGGUUGGAAAGUUUCGGCGGUUGGGGAUGGACUCGCGGCUAAUCAGCUUGUUGGUGGGGUGGUGGCUUACCAAGGCUUUGACGGGUAGCCGGCCUGAGAGGGUGACCGGCCACAUUGGGACUGAGGUACGGCCAAGACUCAUACGGGAGGCAGCAGUGGGGAAUAUUGCACGAUGGGCGGAAGCCUGAUGCAGCAACGCCGCGUGCGGGAUGACGGCCUUCGGGUUGUAAACCGCUUUCGCCUGUGACGAAGCGUGAGUGACGGUAAUGGGUAAAGAAGCACCGGCUAACUACGUG